rnacentral:lncRNA from 1 species
UUUGUACUAUUUUAUUCACAUGUCUCUUCAUUUUUCUUCUUUUCUUUUUGAGCUUAUAGGGGACUAGUGAUUUUCACUCAAUCGAAGUUUGACAAGCAAUUUCAAUCAUUUUCCAACCAUUUUCAUCAAAGCAACCACUAACAUUCUAAGUUCUACCCCUUUAUCAUUGGUUCAUUAAAAGAAAGGAUACAAGGCACGAAAGGGGUAAACUAGGAUCAAAUGAGAAUUUGGACACAAUUUGAGUUAAGUGGCUAACAAAGAUGGCCUUAAAUCACUUCAAUAUUAACAACACAUCUACUUUUAUUUUCUAAGAAAGGACUCAUGGCAAG